AUUUCCCUACAACCAAAUAAAAUGCUAUCUCUUUUUAAGGCGAUUCUAUGCUCUCCUUGCUGAAGAUUUUCUUCCUGUUUAUUUAAGAGAAGAACAGAGUGAAGUAUGGAAUGUCAACAGAAAUCAUUCUGGUAAAUUACUGAAGAUAGAGUUGUUCAAAAUCCUGGCAGGAUUCUAUCACAGUUUCAACCCAAACAAUUAGACAUUGCGUAAUGGAAUGGUAAUAAGGAGCAGUGAAAAGGUAAAGAAAGAACAAAAACUCACCAUCCGAUUCUGAAGCUGCCCUGAAGAUCAAGUAGCUGCUCGGAAGAGGCUGUGUGAUGGAACCCACAUUCUCUCCCUUUGGACCCUAGAAUGGCAUGUGAAAUUAAAUUAAGGACAUAUUGUCAUUUUCUGUAGUUCUCUAAUCCCUGCUUUUUAUUUUCAUUUUCACACUGCUGGUGUCAAAACGGAAAUUGUACAACCACUUUUAAUGUCAAUCUAAAUUUCAAAUAUAUUUUGCACUGUCUAAA